UGAGGAAUAUUGGACAAUGGGGGAAACCCUGAUCCAGCGACGCCGCGUGAGUGAUGAAGGCCUUCGGGUUGUAAAGCUCUGUGGAGGGGGACGAAUAAGUCGGAGCGAACAGCUCCGAUGAUGACGGUACCCUUUUAGCAAGCACCGGCUAACUCUGUGCCAGCAGCCGCGGUAAGACAGAGGGUGCAAACGUUGUUCGGAAUUACUGGGCGUAAAGCGCGUGUAGGCGGCUCUGAUAAGUGAGGUGUGAAAGCCCUGGGCUCAACCCAGGAAGUGCACUUCAAACUAUCGAGCUUGAAUGCUGGAGAGGAAAGCGGAAUUCUCGGUGUAGAGGUGAAAUUCGUAGAUAUCGAGAGGAACACCCGUGGCGAAGGCGGCUUUCUGGCUGGAUACUGACGCUGAGGCGCGAAAGCGUGGGGAGCAAACA
rnacentral:rRNA from 1 species